UCCUACGGGAGGCAGCAGUGGGGAAUUUUGCGCAAUGGGGGAAACCCUGACGCAGCAACGCCGCGUGCGGGACGAAGGCCUUCGGGUUGUAAACCGCUUUCAGCAGGGAAUAUAGUGAAGGUACCUGCAGAAGAAGCUCCGGCUAACUACGUGCCAGCAGCCGCGGUAAUACGUAGGGAGCGAGCGUUAUCCGGAUUCAUUGGGCGUAAAGCGCGCGUAGGCGGCCCGUCAAGCGGGGUUUCAAAUCCAGGGGCUCAACCUCUGGCCGGACCCCGAACUGGCGGGCUCGAGUGCGGUAGAGGAAGGUGGAAUUCCCAGUGUAGCGGUGAAAUGCGCAGAUAUUGGGAAGAACACCGAUGGCGAAGGCAGCCUUCUGGGCCGCCACUGACGCUGAGGCGCGAAAGCUAGGGGAGCGAACAGGAUUAGAUACCCUGGUAGUCC
rnacentral:rRNA from 1 species